rnacentral:tRNA from 1 species
GGGUGAUUAGCUCAGUUGGUAGAGUAUCUCCCUUACAAGGAGGGGGUCGGCGGUUCAAAUCCGUCAUCACCCA